AGAGUGAAUGUAGCACAAUAAAGCAAUGUAUUUGCCUUAAAUGCACUUUGUGAUACAGUAGUUUGCUCAUGUUGCUAAAAAUUGCCUAAACUUCUGCUUAAAUUUUCCCAGUAUCACAAAUAUCACAUGUAUCAGUUAUCCUGAAGACACCAUCUUGGCAAGGAUAUGCUUUCCAUUACUGGCCUAAGAUAACUCGUCUGUUCAAAUGGGAGUGUGACUACCUGAUAUUUCUGCGUGGCAGGCCUUGGGAGUAUUGAAUACUGGGCCAGCAUUCAACUCACAGUGGACAUGCAAUAACUGGAAAUGAGCAAACUCUGUCCCAAGGUCUCCAGUGGUCAGUGUGCAAAUCAUCAGGAACCGUGACUGCAGGUUCUGAGAUAUUCUGCCUGAGAUGUGAGGAAAA